ACUUUAAUUUGUCUCAAGGCUUUUCUUUGUUGCGAUUAUAGAAAAAUCCUGUUUUUCAACUCGUAACGUUGUGAUGAUUUGUUGCGACGUCAUUCGUGACAAGGCAAAAUUCAGUCGCUGUUCAUACCUACAUUCUCUCACAAGGUAAAAGUAAACCAUGAGAAAGUCUGUCGCCAUCCUGUUGAUCGUGGCGCUGACAGUGGCCAUGAUGUCCCACCAGCCUGCAGCUGAGGAUCAGGAUUCUGAUCGCCGUCUUUCUGGAGUGAUGAAAUACCGCCGACGUGUUUGGCCCGGGUUUGAUAAACGCCCAAAGCGGGCUGUGAUGGCUGGUGAUGAACCAUUGAUCGUGAAGGAUCUACUCGAUGGGAUCCCCCAGCGCCCGGGAGGAGAAGACUGAGGAUGCUGUUCAUCCACAGCUGCAAGCACUGGACCAGCUGCCUUCAUGAGACGCCGUGAACACCAAUCCGACUGGUCGUCCAGUAAUGCUUCAUUGCGUGAACAAGCUUAGCUAUUAUGUUAUAGUCCCAGAUAGUACCGGGUGUGCUGCUGUUGUGUUUGAAGAAAUAUAUUAAAGUUUGAUGUUUACAUGCAUAUCAACUUUAAGAAUUAUGUAUGGCUCGCGUAUACGUAUCAGACGUAUAGUGUAUCAUGAUUUUGUACAAAAAUACACAAACUCUCGGUCCAUAAACAUGAGAUCAACUGGCUCAUAUAUAAAGCACAACUUUUACCACUGUUAACUGACUAUCUGAUUAAAAAAACACAUACAGAGGGGGAGACACCAAAGAACAAUUUGUAAUUGAGAAGAUUUCAAAAUCGUUGUUUACAAUACAUUUUAGAAAAAUGCAGACUUUAUCAUUAUAAUUAUCCCUAUUGCUUCUGGUCGAUAUCAAAUAUAUUUAAAUCAUUCUGGCUAUUACAUAACAAUAUGCUAUUACAUAACAAGUUCAAUUAUUAAUGUAGUUGAUGCAAGUAUCUGUCUAUGUCACGUUCAGAAUGACCAAAGUAACUUUUAGAAUUGUAUUGACAACUUCACAUCUAGUUCUAUGAAUGAUACUUUGACGCUUCUGGUUUGAUGUAAGUCACCUGGACCUCUUUGUACUGUUGGAGAGAUCAGCAAACAAGCUUGGUGUGCGUGAA